rnacentral:lncRNA from 9 species
AGACGGGAGGGUUUGAGUAAGAAUAACAAAGAUAUAAAUUUAUCAGCCAAAAUAGAAGAAUCAGUAGUUGAAACAUUAAUUCUCAAUUCCUGUAAAAGCAGAUUGAUAGAUGAAGCAUAAAACAAGACCAGAUGCUGUGGUUUCCAGGAUACACUUGGCUUCCCAUCCUUUAUAACCUGGAGCAUUUUUUGCUCUCCAUUCCUGAUGUGUCUACCAGAGACCAGUCCCAUCAAGGUGAGUCUUGGUAUCCAUGGUUUUUUGUUUUUGUUUGUUUGUUUCUUUGUUUGUUUUUUGCGUUUUAGGGCUGCACCGUGUCAUAUGGAGUUCCUAGACUAGGGGUUGAAUCAGAGCUGCAGCUAUAGGCCUACAUUACAGGUACAGCAACAGGAUCUGAGUGGGUCUGCUGCCUAUAGCACAGCUCAUGGCAGUGCUGGAUCCUUACCCCACUGAUUGAGGCCAGGAAUCGAACUCAUAUCUUCAUAGAUGCUAGUCGAGUUCGUUACUACUGAGCCACAACAGGAAAUCCCCAUAGGAUUUAAGAACAUGGACACCGCAGCCCAACAGACUUAGCUUUAGAUGUGAGAUCUGUUAUGUACUAGCACUGUGACUUUGGGCAAGUUAUUAAGCUCUCAAAGCCUCAAGUUCCUCAUCUUUAAUAUAGGGUCAAUGACAGUAUGCACACUGUAGAGUUGCACUGAGAAUUAAAUAACACAGUGCAAGGAAAGUGCUGAUCUCUAUGCCUGUUACUUAGUAAGUGCUCAAUAAACACGCCAUUUUAAUACCUCAGAUAAUAUUUUCAUUAUACUGUUAAGUGAUAUUCUCUCAUUUCCAGAAGUCUGAAAGGACAAAAAUUCCUUCAUAUCUCCUUAGUGUUUGCAUGAGGGCUUCGCUUUUCAGGUUGUCAACCAUGGCAGCUUAUCUGGAAAUGUUUAUCUUUUCUGCCUUGUGAAAAGGCCAUGCCGCUGUCUCUUUAACCUCUUAGUGUCUCAUAUUUAGGUUUUUUUUUUGGUUUUGUUUUUGUUUUUUGUCUUUUUGCCAUUUCUUGGGCCGCUCCUGCGGCAUAUGGAGGUUCCCAGGCUAGGGGUCCAAUCGGAGCUGUAGCCACCGGCCUACUCCAGAGCCACAGCAACGCGGGAUCUGAUUCGCGUCUGCGACCUACACCACAGCUCAUGGCAACGCCGGAUCAUUAACCCACUGAGCAAGGCCAGGGACCGAACCCGCAACCUCAUGGUUCCUAGUCGGAUUCGUUAACCACUGUGCCACUACGGGAACUCCAUAUUUAGUUUUAAUACACACCUCUGGGUGAUUCUUGAUGAUUAAUUUUCUGUGAACCAUUUGGGAUAGUUACGUAAAACCUGUAAGAUUCCAUCCUUAUGACACCCAGACAAUUAAAUUUAAAAUAUUGAUCAAUCUGUGAAAACAACUAUCUGGUAUUUCUCAGUUCACUGAAGACCAUCAUUAAUAUUUGGUGUUGUUCCCAUCUAUCUAAUAAUAGCUUAUUAUUGAGCUUACAGUUCUUGCUUUCAUGGAGUUCUGAAGACUCAAACAUCUUAUGAAAAUGCAAGUCUUCAUAGAGCUAUUGAUUUUUUUAAGCUAGAGGUUUAGGCUAUUUUUAUUUUUAUUUUUAAUUUU